UAGGGAAUCUUCCGCGAUGGACGCAAGUCUGACGGAGCAACGCCGCGUGAGUGAAGAAGGAUUUCGGUUCGUAAAACUCUGUUGUUAGAGAAGAACAGCGCAUAGAGUAACUGUUAUGCGUGUGACGGUAUCUAACCAGAAAGCCACGGCUAACUACGUGCCAGCAGCCGCGGUAAUACGUAGGUGGCAAGCGUUGUCCGGAUUUAUUGGGCGUAAAGCGAGCGCAGGCGGUCAAUUAAGUCUGAUGUGAAAGCCCCCGGCUCAACCGGGGAGGGUCAUUGGAAACUGGUUGACUUGAGUGCAGAAGAGGAGAGUGGAAUUCCAUGUGUAGCGGUGAAAUGCGUAGAUAUAUGGAGGAACACCAGUGGCGAAGGCGACUCUCUGGUCUGUAACUGACGCUGAGGCUCGAAAGCGUGGGUAGCAAACAGG
rnacentral:rRNA from 1 species